UUUUACGCGGUUAUCCCCGGUUUGAUGGCCCCCCUCUGACAGCGUCAUUUUCCGUAUAAUAAUUUCCGUUAUUUUCCGGGGCUCUCCUUAAUAAUGGACACUGACGACUAACGGUAACAGUGAACUAUAACAUUCUAUUUCUAACAAUAUAUAUCUAUAUUAAAUACAUAUUUUUUUUCAUAAAUACUCUCUUAAAGAUCGAAUUUUACAUGAA
rnacentral:lncRNA from 1 species